GACGAACGCUGGCGGCGUGCUUAACACAUGCAAGUCGAACGGAAAGGCCCUGCUUUUGUGGGGUGCUCGAGUGGCGAACGGGUGAGUAACACGUGAGUAACCUGCCCUUGACUUUGGGAUAACUUCAGGAAACUGGGGCUAAUACCGGAUAGGAGCUCCUGCUGCAUGGUGGGGGUUGGAAAGUUUCGGCGGUUGGGGAUGGACUCGCGGCUUAUCAGCUUGUUGGUGGGGUAGUGGCUUACCAAGGCUUUGACGGGUAGCCGGCCUGAGAGGGUGACCGGCCACAUUGGGACUGAGAUACGGCCCAGACUCCUACGGGAGGCAGCAGUGGGGAAUAUUGCACAAUGGGCGGAAGCCUGAUGCAGCAACGCCGCGUGCGGGAGGACGGCCUUCGGGUGGUAAACCGCUUUCGCCUGGGACGAAGCGUGAGUGACGGUAAUGGGUAAAGAAGCACCGGCUAACUACGUG
rnacentral:rRNA from 1 species